ACCCUGUUGAGCUUGACUCUAGUCUGACGUUGUGAAAUGACUUAUGAGGUGUAGCAUAAGUGGGAGGCUUUGCCGACGAUGAAAUACCACUACUCGUAUUGUCGUUUUACUUAUUUCGUUACGUAGUAUCCGCUCAACCUAAUACGUUGUUCGGUUCUAGUGUUAACCUGCGCUUUUUGUGUAGCAAACUACGCGAAAGACAGCGUCAGGUGGGGAGUUUGGCUGGGG
rnacentral:rRNA from 1 species